UACGAGGGGGGCGAGCGUUGUUCGGAUUUACUGGGCGUAAAGGGCGCGUAGGCGGUCGUGACAAGUCACUUGUGAAAUCUCCGGGCUUAACUCGGAACGGUCAAGUGAUACUGUCGGACUAGAGUACAGAAGGGGGCAACUGGAAUUCUCGGUGUAGCGGUGAAAAUGCGUAGAUAUCGAGAGGGAACACCUGCGGCGAAGGCGGG
rnacentral:rRNA from 1 species